rnacentral:rRNA from 1 species
GAACGGGUGAGUACACGUGGGUGAUCUGCCCUGCACUUUGGGAUAAGCCUGGGAAACUGGGUCUAAUUCCGAAUAGGACCACGCGCUUCAUGGUGUGUGGUGGAAAGCUUUUGCGGUGUGNGNNNGGCCCGCGGCCUAUCAGCUUGUUGGUGGGGUAAUGGCCUACCAAGGCGACGACGGGUAGCCGGCCUGAGAGGGUGACCGGCCACACUGGGACUGAGAUACGGCCCAGACUCCUACGGGAGGCAGCAGUGGGGAAUAUUGCACAAUGGGCGCAAGCCUGAUGCAGCGACGCCGCGUGAGGGAUGACGGCCUUCGGGUUGUAAACCUCUUUCAAUAGGGACGAAGCGCAAGUGGCGGUACCUAUAGAAGAAGCACCGGCCAACUACGUGCCAGCAGCCGCGGUAAUACGUAGGGUGCGAGCGUUGUCCGGAAUUACUGGGCGUAAAGAGCUCGUAGGUGGUUUGUCGCGUUGUUCGUGAAAACUCACAGCUUAACUGUGGGCGUGCGGGCGAUACGGGCAGACUAGAGUACUGCAGGGGAGACUGGAAUUCCUGGUGUAGCGGUGGAAUGCGCAGAUAUCAGGAGGAACACCGGUGGCGAAGGCGGGUCUCUGGGCAGUAACUGACGCUGAGGAGCGAAAGCGUGGGGAGCGAACAGGAUUAGAUACCCUGGUAGUCCACGCCGUAAACGGUGGGUACUAGGUGUGGGUUCCUUCCUUGGGAUCCGUGCCGUAGCUAACGCAUUAAGUACCCCGCCUGGNGAGUACGGCCGCAAGGCUAAAACUCAAAGGAAUUGACGGGGGCCCGCACAAGCGGCGGAGCAUGUGGAUUAAUUCGAUGCAACGCGAAGAACCUUACCUGG